rnacentral:rRNA from 1 species
GACAGAGGCCUCGAGCGUUAGGCGGAAUCACUGGGCUUAAAGCGUGUGUAGGCGGGCCCGUAAGUGUCUUGUGAAAUCCCACGGCUCAACCGUGGAACUGCUGGGCAUACUGCGGGUCUUGGGCCAACUAGGGGCAGCCGGAACAAGCGGUGGAGCGGUGAAAUGCGUAGAUAUCUGGAGGAAUACCGGUGGCGAAGGCGGCAUCCUGGACCGGCAUUGACGCUGAGGAGCGAAAGCCAGGGGAGCAAAGCGGG